rnacentral:rRNA from 1 species
CCUACGGGAGGCAGCAGUAGGGAAUUUUGCGCAAUGGGCGAAAGCCUGACGCAGCAACGCCGCGUGAUCGAGACGCCCUUCGGGGUUUAAAGAUCUGUCAGUGGGGACGAAACUUGACGGUACCCACAGAGGAAGCACCGGCCAACUCCGUGCCAGCAGCCGCGGUAAUACGCGGGGUGCAAGCGUUGUCCGGAAGCAUUGGGCGUAAAGAGUGCGUAGGCGGGGCGGAAAGUCUGGUGUUAAAGGCAGGGGCUCAACUUCUGUAGGGCACUGGAAACUUGCGAGCUAGAAUGCGGUAGAGGUAGAGGGAAUUCCUGGUGUAGCGGUGAAAUGCUUAGAUAUCAGGAGGAACAUCGAUGGCGUAGGCGCUUUACUGGGCCGUAAUUGACGCUGAGGAACGAAAGCGAGGGUAGCAAAUGGGAUUAGAUACCCGUGUAGUC